GGAUAGAGUGGCGAUGCUGGUUCUCCCGCCCUCGGGCGGGAGUCGUAAGAGGGAAUCCGGUGUGAAUCCGGGACUGCCCCCGCAGCGGUGAGUGGGAACGACCGCCGUAUUACGCACUGGGACGACCACCUGGGAAGCGACGGCCAGUAGGAGCCCGAUCGGCAGCUCGAUCGACGUGCCCGCGAGUCCGAAGACCUGCCAGUGCGUCGCGCUCCCG
rnacentral:ncRNA from 2 species